rnacentral:rRNA from 1 species
AGAGUUUGAUCAUGGCUCAGGAUGAAUGCUGGCGGCGUGGAUAAGGCAUGCAAGUCAAGGGGACCGCAAGGUAACCGGCAGACGAGGUAGUAACACGUAGGUAGAUCCCCCGGAGUCGGGCAUAGCUAGCCGAAAGGUUAGGUAAUUCCCGAUGGUUCCGUGAGGAUAAAGGAGCAAUCCGCUCCGGGAGUCGCCUGCGUAGUAUCAGCUAGUUGGUAGGGUAAUGGCCUACCAAGGCUACGACGCUUAGGGGAGCUGAGAGGCUGACCCCCACCGAUGGGACUGAGAUACGGCCCAUACUCCUACGGGAGGCCGCAGUCGAGAAUCUUCCGCAAUGGGCGAAAGCCUGACGGAGCGACGCCGCGUGAUUGACGAAGUCCUUCGGGACGUAAAAAUCUUUUCCCAGGGACGAAAUUAUUGACGGUACCUGGGGAAUAAGGGGCUCCUAACUCUGUGCCAGCAGGAGCGGUAAUACAGAGGCCCCAAGCAUUAUCCGGAAUUAUUGGGCGUAAAGGGUGUCGAGGCGGUCGUAUUAGUCUUCCGUGAAAUCCAGGAGCUUAACUUCUGGCCUGCGGAGGAAACGGUACGACUUGAGGGCGCGAGAGGUCUAUGGAACUCACGGUGUAGGGGUAAAAUCCGUUGAUAUCGUGGGGAACACCAAAAGCGAAGGCAAUAGACUGGCGCGUUCCUGACGCUCACACACGAAAGCCAGGGGAGCGAACGGGAUUAGAUACCCCCGUAGUCC